rnacentral:rRNA from 1 species
AUGCACGCUGGCGGCGUGCCUCAUACAUGCAAGUCGAGCGCACGGACGAGAAGCUUGCUUCUCUGAUGUUAGCGGCGGACGGGUGAGUAACACGUGGAUAACCUACCUAUAAGACUGGGAUAACUUCGGGAAACCGGAGCUAAUACCGGAUAAUAUUUUGAACCGCAUGGUUCAAAAGUGAAAGACGGUCUUGCUGUCACUUAUAGAUGGAUCCGCGCUGCAUUAGCUAGUUGGUAAGGUAACGGCUUACCAAGGCAACGAUGCAUAGCCGACCUGAGAGGGUGAUCGGCCACACUGGAACUGAGACACGGUCCAGACUCCUACGGGAGGCAGCAGUAGGGAAUCUUCCGCAAUGGGCGAAAGCCUGACGGAGCAACGCCGCGUGAGUGAUGAAGGUCUUCGGAUCGUAAAACUCUGUUAUUAGGGAAGAACAUAUGUGUAAGUAACUGUGCACAUCUUGACGGUACCUAAUCAGAAAGCCACGGCUAACUACGUG